AUCUCACAUAACAUAAUGCAGUGUUAUUUAUGGACAACAUUCAACAAGAAAGGAAAAGGAUCUGCCAGUUGGAAUUUCAGUUUUCUUCAUUCUGUACACAGAAAAGUCCUGCGUGAUCUGGAGCCAGUUUGAAGGCUGACACCACACUUGCCGAAGAUCUGGAUAUAAAGACCAGCAGUUUACAAAGUAGAAUAUUUGUCAGUAUAAAUGUGGGCAAAGGGGCAUUUUUUUCAAUU